rnacentral:rRNA from 1 species
UACGGGGGGGGCAAGCGUUGGUUCGGAAUUACUGGGCGUAAAGGGCUUGUAGGUGGCCAACUAAGUCAGACGUGAAAUCCCUCGAGCUUAACUGGGGAACUGCGUCUGAUACUGGAUGGCUUGAGAUUGGGAGAGGGACGCGGAAUUCCAGGUGUAGCGGUGAAAUGCGUAGAUAUCUGGAGGAACACCGGUGGCGAAGGCGGCGUCCUGGACCAACACUGACACUGAAAAGCGAAAGCCAGGGGAGGCAAACGGG